rnacentral:rRNA from 1 species
GGGUGAGUAACACGUGAGCAACCUGCCUUUCAGAGGGGGAUAACAGCCGGAAACGGCUGCUAAUACCGCAUAAUGUUGCGGGGGCACAUGCCCCUGCAACCAAAGGAGCAAUCCGCUGAAAGAUGGGCUCGCGUCCGAUUAGCCAGUUGGCGGGGUAACGGCCCACCAAAGCGACGAUCGGUAGCCGGACUGAGAGGUUGAACGGCCACAUUGGGACUGAGACACGGCCCAGACUCCUACGGGAGGCAGCAGUGGGGGAUAUUGCACAAUGGGCGAAAGCCUGAUGCAGCGACGCCGCGUGAGGGAAGACGGUCUUCGGAUUGUAAACCUCUGUCUUUGGGGAAGAAAAUGACGGUACCCAAAGAGGAAGCUCCGGCUAACUACGUGCCAGAG